UUCAGUGUAAACCUGACAUGGUCUACUAUCACUUGAAGAGGGAACCUCAGUUGAGAGGUUUAGGUCUAAGAUUAUUCCCUUUUAAGGGAAAAAUAAUGAAGGCUGGAGCCAUGGCUCAGCAGGCAAGAGCACUGGCUGCUCUUCCCAUGGACCCAGGUUCCAGUCCCAUAUGGUGGCUCACAGCUGUUAAUAACUCUGGUUCGGGGAAUCUAAUGUCCUCUUCUGGCUGUUGCAGGCAGUGCACAUACAUGAUGCACAGAAACACGUGCAGAUAAACACCAAUACACAUAAAAAUUUCACUUUUUUUUUAAUGGAAAAAAUCUUGACAGUAUCACAUAUCUCAAGCUGGCAUCAAGCUUGCUGUGUAGCCAGGGAUGAGUCUGCACUCCUGGUUUCCUGCUUCCACCUUGCUUGCAGAACUGGGACCAUGCUAGGUUUAUGCUGGGAUCGAACACAGGGCACUGUGCACACCAAACACUCUUCCAGCAAGGCCACACCCCCAGCCCAAUGCAAGUGUCUGUCUGAUAGAACUGGUAGUAUUCUGGGCGCUUGGCUUCUGGAAGCUGCCGACUCAAGUUCCUGAACACGAUGGGCCUUUUGGUACGAGUUUGCUGUUCUGGCAAAUUUGUUUCAGUCCCAUUCAUCCAGGACAUCAGCCCAGUGAGGUAAGAACUGUCCACAGCAGUCCCAGCUUCUAUCCUGUCUUCAGCCCUGACACUAGUGUCACAGCUGAGCUUGUUAUCCUGGCUAGUCAAUCCAAUUUGAUCUUCAAGAAAGAAAAAAUUCUCGUGGCUUUCUGAAUCUCCUGUGUCCAGCUUCAUUUAUACCCUUGUAUUUUUAUAUUUUCCUGGAGCUUUGGGUCCAGUCCCACACCUAGUUUUCUAAGGCAGAGUUCUUUUCUUGUAUUGAUUACUAUAAAAGUUCGCCUAGGGACUACUUUGGCUGUGUGUCACCAAUCUCAGUAAGUUAUGUGUGCCCACAUCCUGCAUGCUGUGAUCACAGUCAUGCCCCAUACACGUGGUUUUUCCGCAGUGCUCCAUGUGAGCUAGGUUCUGAGCUGCACUCUGAGCCCCUCCACAUUCCUCAGUUUAAAAUAUUUUUUACCUGGGCCUGGUGGCUCGUUCUGUAACCCCAGCUGUUAAGGAGGCUGUUAGAAUCUGGCCUGGGUUAAGAGACUGUCUUAAAAAGCAGAAAUUCUUUUUAAUAAUUUUUUAUUUUGUACACAUUAGUAUUUUUCCUGAAUGUAUGUCUGUGCGAGGGUGUUGUGGAUCCUGGAGUUACAGACAGUUGCGAACUGCUAUGUGGGUGCUGGGAAUUGAACCUGGGUCCUCUGGAAGAGCAGUCACUGCUCUUAACCACUGAGCCAUUUCUCGAGCCCCCAAAGCAGAAACUUUUUUUAAAAAAUAUAUUUAUUUAUUUGUUAUAUAUACAAUAUUCUGUCUGUGUGUAUGUCUGCAGGCCAGAAGAGGGCACAAGACCUCAUUACAGAUGGUUGUGAGCCUCCAUGUGGUUGCCGGGAAUUGAACUCAGGACCCUUGGAAGAGCAGGCAAUGCUCUUAACCACUGAGCCAUCUCUCCAGCCCCCAAAGCAGAAAUUCUUAAAUAUUUUUCAUGACAUUCCUUCUGUUGAUAUCCAUUUUAAAAAAUUACUUAUUUAAUAUUGACAUAGUUACAUCCUUAAAUUUCUCGUUUUAAAAAUCUUUAAAAUUACAUAUGUGUGUAGGGGCAUGUGGAAUUCUCUCCACCGCAAGCUCCAGGGAUUAAACUCCAGGUUGCCAGGCCUUUCUCACUGAGCACCUUUCAUUGUCCCCACCCCUCACUGGUGUGUAUGGUUGCCUGCUCAUUUGUGUGCCCAAUGUCCAUGAAGGUCAGAAGUGUGGGUAUCAGAUCCCCUGGAACUGGAACUACUGAAGGCUGGAGCCACAUGUGGGUGCUGGGAACUGAGCCCAGUCCCUCUAGAAGAGCAGCCAAGGGCUCUUAACUGCUCAGCCAUCACUCUAGCAAUGUUUCCAUGAUUUCUAUUUUUGAAUAUGUUAAGGUCUGUUUUAUAGCGCCACUGUGGUCCAUAUUGAAUUUAUUCAUUUAUUAAGUAUACCGUAUUGUCUGCAUAUAUGCCUACAGGCCAGAAGAGGGCACCAGAUCUUACUACAAAUGGUUGUGAGCCACCAUGUGGUUGCUGGGAAUUGAACUCAGGACCUCUGGAACAAUCAAUGCUCUUAACCACUGAGCCAUCUCUCCAGCCCCUGGGGAAUUGGUGUUUUGUUGGAACAUAAUGUAUGUAUAACGUGUGUGCAGUGCCUGCAGAGGCCAGAAGAGGGAGAUGGAUCCCCUGGAACUGACUCAAUAGUUGUUGGUGUUGGCAGUCAAACAUGGGUUGUUAGAGAAACCCACAAGUCUUUGCUCUAGUCACCAAGUUUUUGUUCUUUUGGUUUCUCUUUGUAUCUAGCUUUGGAGCCUGUCCUGUAACUUGCUUUGUAGACCAGGCUGGCCUCAAACUCAGAGAUUCGGCCUUGUGAAUUCGGCUGGGAUUAAAGGUGUGUACCACAGCUGCCCAGCCCAGAGUUUUCAAAAAUGUGUGAGCAUGCAUAAGAACAGGUGACCUCAAAGGUCAGGGGUGUUGGAUCAGGCAGUUUUGAGUUAAGACUUGGAUGCUGGGAACCAAACUUGGUCCUUUGCAAGAGCAGUACUCGCUCUUAACUGAGCCACUCCUUCCAGCAGCUGUAUGAAGUCUUUUAUUAACAUUAGAUCCAACUGGCUGCAGGAGUCUGUUCAAGUAUGUUCUACUGAUUUUCAAGAGGUGAUCUGAGAAUUACUGAUAUGGGUAGUUGAGGUUUUUCUUUUGAAACUGGUCUCACUAGAUAGCCCUGCUGUUCUGGAACCUACUGUGUAGACCAGACUGGCCUUAAAUCAGAGAUCUGCUUGGUUCCACUUCCCCAGUUUAAAUGCAUUCAGAGUGAUGCCUGGCCCCCAGUUUUCUGUUAGGACUACCAUGGUUAUGCCUUCCUCUAGCCCCCCAAGGUCAGUGCCUAUUUUAACUAUUCACAUAUAAUGGUAAGGGGAACCAAGCCCAGGGUCCAGGCAUGGUAGGCAGGCACUGUACCAGAGCACACCCCCGGCUCCUGUGGUCUCUAAUGGAUCACAGUUACGUCUUGCCUUUUCAAUCGGGCCAAUCACCUCCACACCCCAUGGGACCUAGUGAUCUGAACAGCUUGUCAGUGCUGCUUGUUGGCUGUGCUGUUUUCUCUUCCAUCCUCUACCCCACAGGUGGAGAGCAGAGGCCGCUGGGAAAGAGGUAUGUGUGAACAAGGCAGACUGCAGUGACUGCCUCCUGGGAACCCUCCAGUGCUUAUUUGGGGGUGGUAGUGCAUGCAUACCCUGCUGUUUUCACUGCUGAGAUGAAAAUGGGCCCCGUUUCUGCCAUUGCAUUGUGGGAUGACUGGUUAUGGCCAGGUGGGAACCCCAGAAUAGGCUUAAUGGUGAAAUGGUAGAGCAACUGCCAUCUUCACAGCAGGGGCUGAGAUGGUUCAGAAGGCUAUGGCACCAGUCACCAAGCUCUAGGACCUAAGUUCAGUCCACACAACACAUGGAGGGGGAAACUGAUUUCCUAAAUGCACGAUUCUCCCCAAAUAAGGUCAGAUAGUGUAAUAAAAUAUACAGUGAAGCUGUAUGACCACAACCUUUGUUACUGAGACAAGGUCUCAGACCUGCUCACCCGGCUCUCAUGUUGUGAUUGUGAGUCCAAGUGUGAGUGCAGCAAUGGACAUGUACCCUGGUGCCCAUGAGUAGAGGAUAUAGCUCUUGUGAGUUGGUUCUCACCUGCCCCCUUGUGGCAAUCUGGGAUCCAACAAAAUGCAGGCCAAGCACUCUACCCCUUGUGCCACCUUGUCUUUAGCAGGAAAGCGCAUUCAGCCCUGUGGCAAACCUGCCUGACUUCAAUUGGGGCUCAGAUGUCAACUGUUAUACUCACCACUGCAGAUGAGAAUUCUGUAGCUGUCACCAUGCCACGCUGGCUAAACCACUCCAUCUCUAAGCUUUCAUCAUAACCGAGCAACCAAACAAUAUCCAUGGGCACACCUACCCACAGUAAGAAGGGAUGCUGGAAAUCGGGACUUCCCUAUCAACUGUCUUUAGGGCAGCGCAGCACAGGGCAGGGCCUUACUUAACUCUUUGACCCAAUGUCUAGGAAACAUAAUGCGAUCUGAAGUGAAGACUGUAGACAAACUUCACUGGGGAGGCAGGAGAGUCCCUGAGUCCCCAGGGAUUUGCUUGACAAUAAAAACUUGUGGCCGAAGAGGGUGAGCACUCAAUGGGCAUACACCAGUCCUUAGGAUCCGAGCCAAGGACCACUGUUAUGCUCCACCAGAAGAGGGGAGGACCCAUCCAAAACUAACCUCCAAAUGGUACUCUAAAGCUGGAGAGGCUGCAUAGCAUGCUGCAUGUAGCUUCCUUGCUGCCACAGGGGACCGACCACACAGACAGAGGGUCACUGAGAACAAGGCUAACGAUGUUCAGGGAGUGUGUCUUCCCUGCAGUGAGACGAGGACUCCACACCUUCUUGGGUAUCUUUAUUCAGAGCUUCACACUUGGAACCGCCAGCGAAACCCACCACCAGGGAUCUGCGCACAUACAGGAUUUUCCUUGCACUCCAGGGACAGAUCAACAGACUCCUGUGCAGCAGCUUUGUCCUCCCCGCUUGCCACAUGGACUAAGGUGCCCAGUACUGUCCUUGCUGUGCUAACCCUCAAGCACCAGGUUGGAGAAGCGGUCUCAGGGAUCUCCUAAGCUAAGUAGCAGGUAAUGCAAGAACAACUGGGAGAAGGUAAUCCAGCAGCUUGCCCCCUGAUUUUCAGUUCAGAUUUUACAAUGAAGGGAUCAUGGUGGGAAGCCCCACGACAAGAACAAACACGAAGAACUGAUUGCUUGUGAAGCGCUUUCCAGAUGGCUUCAUUUCUCCUCAGCUUGACCACAAGCUUCUCAAGAGAACCCCAGAAUCAAAAACUCUGAGGACUCACCUUCACUCUACUGGGUGAGAAAGUCCUUUGGGAAGUCUUGUUUCCUCACCACAGGAAAAAUAGCAGGAUAGAUGACACAUCAGGAAAUGCUACUUAGAUUCAAGCACGAUGAAAUUUUGUCAAGCAAAAAUAGUCUUUAUUCAAAUUUAAUGGAAACAGGGGUCACUAUACUUUGCAAGACGGGGAAAAAUAAAAUUAAAAAAAAUUCUUUUCUUUUUUAAUAUAAAACAAUAUAAUCACAAUACCAGAAUAUGGAGCUCUACAGUUUACUUCCUAUGGGCUAUGCAGUAUCAAUUUCUCUUGACUGUGCUAUUCACAACGUUGUUAAGUCCAAAAAUAGGAAACCAAAGUGGUGGGAAACUGAAGACUUGUACUUUCACUACGUGGCAUACAUCAAAGGGCAUCAAUUCAAGGGCAAAACGGUUGAACUCACCACACCUACCUAUGCCAUCAUUCCAGCCCGAGAAGCCGUUGGGGUGCUGAGCUCCCUUUAGCCGUGACCAGGCCUUAGAGCCAAGGCGUUUGGAUGUCCUGCUGUGAGUAAAGGGAGGUUUGAGGAGCUGCUUUUCAGUGGAGGAGCGGGAGGCCUGGCGCCAGGAGGCGGUACCAAGGAAGCACUGAGAUUGAACAAUUGGAGACACACCAUUAGGGGAGUUCAAUGUACAGUGGUGAGGGUGUUCUACUUCACUCUUGUGCUACGGCUACCAACAUGUACAAAAGACUUCUCGGCAGUUCCAGUGUGGCAUAGCCAGUUAGGAUCUUGAGUGGGACCUGGAUCUAGAUCGGGAGGGCGACCUGGAAGCAGACCUGGAUGGAGACUUGGACCGAGAACGUGUUUUUGAAGCUGACUUCGACCUGGAGCGCGACUCUGCAGGGAGACUAGGUUUGGAUUUGGAAGUGGAUCUUGACCUAGCUCGGGGCUCUGGAUUGGGACCCGCAUUUUCUCCCUCAGCCCGGCCUUCCCUCUGGCCAGACUCUGCCUUGGCAUGCUCCCGUUCCUUUGACACUGAGCGGGAUGGUGACCGGGAGUGGUCGGUGUCCUCCUUCUUCUUCUUGCUGCUGCUGACCUUGCUAUCUCGCUUGCUGCUAUGCUUGCGGCUGCGCUCGCUUUUGCUGCGGCUGCGGCUUCGGCUUUCCUCCCUGCUUCUCUUCCUGCCCUUCCGCUUGUCCUUGCUUUUG